GACAGAGGUGCCGAGCGUUAGGCGGAAUCACUGGGCUUAAAGCGUGUGUAGGCGGGCGGGCAAGUACCUUGUGAAAUCCCACGGCUCAACCGUGGAACUGCUGGGUAUACUGCCUGUCUUUGAGCCAGCCAGGGGCAGUCGGAACAGACGGUGGAGCGGUGAAAUGCGUAGAUAUCGUCUGGAACGCCAAAGGUGAAAACAGACUGCUGGGGCUGAUGCUGACGCUGAGAC
rnacentral:rRNA from 1 species